GGUCUGCACAUGAGGGCGGCGUGUCAAAUUCAAAAGUUAGAAAUUCUCUAUGUUAACCAAACUUGUAUAACCAACCUUCCCGUGGCCCACCAAUUUAUUUUCAAUGGUCAUACAUAAUUGAUUAAUAGGGGCUUUACUUAAUCGGGGGAUCUCAAGAAAUAUAUGUGUCCCUUACCUAAUCAUUUAAGCUUUCAGAUGAGACUGUUCAACUUAUCUUUAGUGUAUUUAUUGUAUGGCCCUUCUGCUCUGCAGGAGGAAAGCAAUGUUAGAACUGCUCAGUUGCAUGAUGAUGCAACAAGACAUGCUUGAGGACUACCUUUCUAGCUGCUAAGAAGACAGCAGAGAUCUUUCAUUGAGGUGAAAUUAUGCAAUUUACGUUUUCUUUGUGAUGGAUACGAAAAUUACUUGUCCAGAAAAUAAGAAAGCUUAGAAUGCAGCCUUUAUCUCUGUCUCAUCUGGUAUCUGAAAUGAUAUGAAUUAUGGUUUCUUGUUGUAAAGUUUGCUGUAGCAAUUGUAACAGUGGCUGAUUCAAUCAAAAGUAGGAUUUGUUAUAAAAUGUUAUAUUCACAUGAGUAGUUUGCAUCUGGUAUUGUGAACUGGAAAAUAUAUACUGGAAAGAGAAAUUUCCAUAUUCA